rnacentral:rRNA from 1 species
AGUCGAGCGAGAAAGUCCCGGCAACGGGAUGAGUAAAGCGGCGAACGGGUGAGUAACGCGUGGGUAAUCUGCCCUUCAGCCCGGGAUAACCCGCCGAAAGGUGGGCUAAUACCGGAUAACGUUUUCGUGGGGAAUCCCGUGGAAACCAAAGGGGGCGAGCGUAAGCAGCUUUCACUGGAGGAGGAACCUGCGUCCGAUUAGCUAGUUGGUGGGGUAACGGCCUACCAAGGCGACGAUCGGUAGCCGGCCUGAGAGGGCGACCGGCCACACUGGAACUGGGACACGGUCCAGACUCCUACGGGAGGCAGCAGUGGGGAAUAUUGCGCAAUGGGCGAAAGCCUGACGCAGCGACGCCGCGUGGGCGAUGAAGGCCUUCGGGUUGUAAAGCCCUGUCGGGUGGAACGAAUCUCCCUGUGGCGAAUACCCACGGGGAUUGACGGUACCACCGAAGGAAGCUCCGGCUAACUACGUGCCAGCAGCCGCGGUAAUACGUAGGGAGCGAGCGUUGUUCGGAUUUACUGGGCGUAAAGCGCGCGUAGGCGGCCUUGUAAGUCGGGUGUGAAAGCCUUCGGCUCAACCGAGGAUCCGCGCCCAAAACUGCAUGGCUUGAGUCUAGGAGAGGAGAGCGGAAUUCCCAGUGUAGCGGUGAAAUGCGUAGAUAUUGGGGA